AUACGUAGGGGGCGAGCGUUGUCCGGAAUGAUUGGGCGUAAAGGGCGCGUAGGCGGCGCGGUAAGUCUGGAGUGAAAGUCCUGCUUUCAAGGUGGGAAUUGCUUUGGAUACUGUCGGGCUUGAGUGCAGGAGAGGUAAGUGGAAUUCCCAGUGUAGCGGUGAAAUGCGUAGAGAUUGGGAGGAACACCAGUGGCGAAGGCGACUUACUGGACUGUAACUGACGCUGAGGCGCGAAAGUGUGGGGAGCAAACAGGAUUAGAUACCCUGGUAGUCCACACUGUAAACGAUGAAUGCUAGGUGUAGGGGGUAUCGACCCCUUCUGUGCCGCAGUCAACACAAUAAGCAUUCCGCCUGGGGAGUACGGCCGCAAGGUUGAAACUCAAAUGAAUUGACGGGG
rnacentral:rRNA from 1 species